AGCGCAGAAGCGAGAUUUUUUAAAAUAUUAGGAAGCGGGUACGUGUUGGAAGCGUAUAUCCAUAUAUAAAUAAAUAUAAAUAUAUAUAUAUAAUAUUAAUUUUUGAAAAAAUUAGGACUAAAAAUUAUAUGAUUUAAAUUUAAAAUAAAGCAUUCAUUCAUUUAUAAUAUUUUUGAAAUGAUUUUAUAUUAAAACUGUAAAAAUACACAUAAAUGAAGUUUACAAAAAAUAUUAUAUUAAUUAGUUUUAAUACUUCAUAAAUAAUUGACACAAUAUAUUUCAAUAUGUGCUAUAUCUUUAAUAAAAAAUCUCAAUGCAUAAAGAUAAUUUAUAGUAUUAUUUUUAAUAUUUGUAUAUUAAUAACUCAAUAUUCAUUACUAUUGAUUUUUUAUUUUAUAUAGAUUAAAACUACGGUUUUAUAUUUUAUUGAUAUACAUUGCAUUUUUUUUUUAAAAACGGAAGCGUGAUUCCAAAACGGAAUCGUAAGCUUCCAACAAGUUUUUAAAGAGAAUAUUUUAGAAACGUUUUGGAAGCGAGAUUCCGCAAGCUUCCACAAGAUUCCGAUUCCGAUUCCGGUUCCGAAGCGGGAAGCGGACGUCCGAUGAAGCUUCCGUGCAACGUAGGG
rnacentral:lncRNA from 1 species